rnacentral:tRNA from 1 species
AGCAAAGUGACCGAGUUUAGGUAAAAGAUUGUAACUCUUUUUACGGGCUAUCCCCUUUGUAA